rnacentral:rRNA from 1 species
GACGAACGCUGGCGGCGUGCUUAACACAUGCAAGUCGAACGGAAAGGCCCUGCUUUUGUGGGGUGCUCGCGUGGCGAACGGGUGAGUAACACGUGAGUAACCCGCCCUUGACUUUGGGAUAUCUUCAGGAAACCGGGGCUAAUACAGGAUAGGAGAUCCUGCUGCAGGGUGGGGGUCGGACAGCUUCGGCGGUUGGGGAUGGAGUUGCGGCUUACCAGCUUGUUGGUGGGGGAGCGGCUUACCAAGGCUUAGACGGGUAGCCGGCCUGAGAGGGUGACCAGCCACAUGAGUACUGCGAUACGGACCAGUCUCGUACGGGGGACAACGGGGGAGAGUAUUGCCCAGUGGGGGGGAGCGUGUGACAGCGGCGCCGCGAGCGUGAUGACGGCCUUCUUGUGAUAAACCGCUUUCACCUAUGACGAAGCGUUAGUGACGUUACUGGGUGAAGAAGCACCGGCUAACUACGUG